rnacentral:rRNA from 1 species
UACGAGGGGAGCAAGCGUUGUUCGGAUUUACUGGGCGUAAAGGGCGCGUAGGCGGCGUGACAAGUCACUUGUGAAAUCUCCGGGCUUAACUCGGAACGGUCAAGUGAUACUGUCGUGCUAGAGUACAGAAGGGGCAACUGGAAUUCUCGGUGUAGCGGUGAAAUGCGUAGAUAUCGUAAGGAAGACCAGUGGCGAAGGCGGGUCUCUGGACAGUUCCUGACGCUGAGGCACGAAGGCCAGGGGAGCAAACAGG